rnacentral:rRNA from 1 species
AAUUUAAAAGGGUAUUUACGGAAACGGAUAGGCUCGCGUGACAUUAGCUAGAUGGCGGGGUAACGGCCCACAUGGCAACGAUGUCUAGGGGUUCUGAGAGGAAGGUCCCCCACACUGGAACUGAGACACGGUCCAGACUCCUACGGGAGGCAGCAGUGAGGAAUAUUGGUCAAUGGUCUAACGACUGAACCAGCCAUGCCGCGUGAAGGUCACGGCCCUAUGGGUCUUAAACUUCUUUUGUAAGGGAGCAAUAAGUCUCACGUGUGGGAUGAUGAGAGUACCUUACGAAUAAGCAUCGGCUAACUCCGUG